rnacentral:pre_miRNA from 1 species
UUUUAUGUAUAAGCAAAGAAAGCAGUUUCUUGGAAUGGAAUCUACUCCUGGUGGAGAUGCUGUGAA